rnacentral:rRNA from 1 species
AAUGAACGUUGGCGGCAUGGAUUAGGCAUGCAAGUCGAGCGAGAAGGGUUUUGAAGCCUGCUUUAGAACCCGGACAGCGGCGAAAGGGAGAGUAACGCGUAGUUAUGUGCCCUAGGGUCCGGAAUAGCCACGGGAAACUGUGGGUAAUGCCGGAUAAUAUCCCCGGAUCAAAGGUGUGAUUCCGCCCUAGGAGCAGACUGCGUCCUACUAGCUAGUUGGUGGGGUAAUGGCCCACCAAGGCAAUGAUGGGUAGCGGGUGUGAGAGCAUGACCCGUCUCACUGGGACUGAGACACUGCCCAGACACCUACGGGUGGCUGCAGUCGAGAAUCUUCGGCAAUGGGCGAAAGCCUGACCGAGCGAUGCCGCGUGCGGGAUGAAGGCCCUCGGGUUGUAAACCGCUGUCGUAGGGGAGGAAGGUUCCGUGAAGAGCGGAAUUUGACCUAUCCUAGGAGGAAGUACGGGCUAAGUUCGUGCCAGCCGCCGCAGUAAGAC